UACGUAGGGGGCAAGCGUUAUCCGGAUUUACUGGGUGUAAAGGGAGCGUAGACGGCGAUGCAAGUCUGAAGUGAAAGGCGGGGGCCCAACCCCCGGACUGCUUUGGAAACUGUGAAGCUGGAGUGCAGGAGAAGUAAGCGGAAUGCGUGGUGUAGCGGUGAAAUGCAUAGAUAUCACGCAGAACCCCGAUUGCGAAGGCAGCAUACCGGUGCACAACUGACGCUCAGGCACGAAAGCGUGGGUAUCGAACAGG
rnacentral:rRNA from 1 species